rnacentral:lncRNA from 1 species
UGGAAGUCUAAUUAAAUUACUCUAGGAAGAGGACACAGCAAGUACAAAUGUCAGAAGACCAGUACAGGUGUCACCGGACUAAAACUGGAGUAUCAGCAGGCAUUCCCUGCUGGAGGCUUAAGGGCAGAAUCCAUUUCCUUGCAUUUUCCAGCUUCUAGAGGCAUCUCCCUGGUCCUUGCAUACUGUCGCCAACAUUUCAGAACUGGCAAUAGGUUGGCAGGACAGAUUUGGUGGUGGUUUGCUGACUCCUGCCAUAGAGGGCAGAGGAUCCAUCAGAAAGAAGGAAUCUGGAUUCUUAAAUAAGGUCCCCACUAAAGUGGACCACUGACAUCAGGUACAAUUUUUUGAGAGAGAAAUUAACGUCUAUCUCCCUUAAGCCAAUGUAUUUGUGGACUCUAUCACAGUAGCUUAACCUCUA